rnacentral:lncRNA from 1 species
CCCAAGCGCUUUCUGCUGUUUAGCUUUUUGUUGGUUGAUUGGUCUUCUUGUGGGUACCAGGCAUUCUUUCUGAGCUUAGUGGCUGUGGAAGAGAUCACUGCCUAUUUCAGAAGGUGUACGUAACUCAGCACUCAAGCCCUUUGGGUUGCUGAGACAGACAAUGCUAAUGCACGGAGCAGUCGAGAAUUGCAUUUGCCAGGGCUGGCCCUGGGAGCGGGCAGCCACCCAAGGUUUCACAGACUCGGUGAUGUCCUCAGAGUUGUAGUGGGGGAGGAGAAUACUGCACCCAGUUACACUGCCCAGUGUGGUACGCACCUUCUGGGACUAUGGCAGGUGAGCGCCCGUCCCACAUGCCCUCCUGCUGAAGGUUGUGGGUGAAACGUGUUCAGUGAGCUCCAGUAGCAAGGCACCGCAUCCCACCAGAUAUGACGGCUUUUCAAAGCCCUUUUGGGGGUGAGUUCUUCGUUUGCCUUUUUUGUUUUUUUCCAAAGUACUGCUGAGGCAAUAUUACAUCGCCCAGCCCUGCGUACGUGCUGCCACAUUCUGGAAGAUGGAAAACAAAAGCUAAAAGAGGAUGGUUAACCUUUUCUAAUUGUCGCAGUACAGGACUAGUUGCCAGGAGGAACUUGAGUGCUAAUCCUGCUUUACUCACCAUGUGACCUUUGGGUAAGUUACCUAAUUACCUUGUCCUUCAGUCAACGGAGCCUGUAAAGAGCAGGUGUUUCAGUGAAACCCACGACUGCUGAGACAACGUGUGUCCUUAGGAAACAACCAGAGAAUAAAACUCAAUGCAAUUUUUUAAAGGUGGAUUUA